rnacentral:rRNA from 1 species
GACGAACGCUGGCGGCGUGCUUAACACAUGCAAGUCGAACGGAAAGGCCCUGCUUUUGUGGGGUGCUCGAGUGGCGAACGGGUGAGUAACACGUGAGUAACCUGCCCUUGACUUUGGGAUAACUUCAGGAAACUGGGGCUAAUACCGGAUAGGAGCUCCUGCUGCAUGGUGGGGGUUGGAAAGUUUCGGCGGUUGGGGAUGGACUCGCGGCUUAUCAGCUUGUUGGUGGGGUAGUGGCUUACCAAGGCUUUGACGGGUAGCCGGCCUGAGAGGGUGACCGGCCACAUUGGGACUGAGAUACGGCCCAGACUCCUACGGGAGGCAGCAGUGGGGAAUAUUGCACAAUGGGCGGAAGCCUGAUGCAGCAACGCCGCGUGCGGGAUGACGGCCUUCGGGUUGUAAACCGCUUUCGCCUGUGACGAAGCGUGAGUGACGGUAAUGGGUAAAGAAGCACCGGCUAACUACGUGCCAGCAGCCGCGGUGAUACGUAAGGUGCGAGCGUUGUCCGGAUUUAUUGGGCGUAAAGGGCUCGUAGGUGGUUGAUCGCGUCGGAAGUGUAAUCUUGGGGCUUAACCCCUGAGCGUGCUUUCAAUACGGGUUGACUUGAGGAAGGUAGGGGAGAAUGGAAUUCCUGGUGGAGCGGUGGAAUGCGCAGAUAUCAGGAGGAACACCAGUGGCGAAGGCGGUUCUCUGGGCCUUUCCUGACGCUGAGGAGCGAAAGCGUGGGGAGCGAACAGGCUUAGAUACCCUGGUAGUCCACGCUGUAAACGGUGGGUACUAGGUGUGGGGUCCAUUCCACGGGUUCCGUGCCGUAGCUAACGCUUUAAGUACCCCGCCUGGGGAGUACGGCCGCAAGGCUAAAACUCAAAGGAAUUGACGGGGCCCCGCACAAGCGGCGGAGCAUGCGGAUUAAUUCGAUGCAACGCGUAGAACCUUACCUGGGUUUGACAUGGAUCGGGAGUGCUCAGAGAUGGGUGUGCCUCUUUUGGGGUCGGUUCACAGGUGGUGCAUGGCUGUCGUCAGCUCGUGUCGUGAGAUGUUGGGUUAAGUCCCGCAACGAGCGCAACCCUUGUUCACUGUUGCCAGCACGUUAUGGUGGGGACUCAGUGGAGACCGCCGGGGUCAACUCGGAGGAAGGUGGGGAUGACGUCAAGUCAUCAUGCCCCUUAUGUCCAGGGCUUCACGCAUGUUACAAUGGCUGGUACAGAGAGUGGCGAGCCUGUGAGGGUGAGCGAAUCUCGGAAAGCCGGUCUCAGUUCGGAUUGGGGUCUGCAACUCGACCUCAUGAAGUCGGAGUCGCUAGUAAUCGCAGAUCAGCAACGCUGGGGUGAAUACGUUCCCGGGGCU